rnacentral:rRNA from 1 species
ACUCAAAUGAAUUGACGGGGACCCGCACAAGCAGUGGAUCAUGUGGUUUAAUUCGAUGCUACGCGAAGAACCUUACCGAGGCUUGACAUCCUGAGAAGUCUCCAGAAACGGAGAUGUGCCUUCGGGAGCUCAGUGACAGGUGCUGCAUGGCCGUCGUCAGCUCGUGUCGUGAGAUGUUGGGUUAAGUCCCGCAACGAGCGCAACCCUUGUCGUGUGUUAUAUUUUUCACGCGAGACUGCCCGGGCCAACCGGGAGGAAGGUGGGGAUGACGUCAGGUCAGCAUGGCCCUUACGCCUCGGGCCACACACGUGAUACAAUGGCCGGUACAACGAGCCGCGAAGCCGCGAGGUGGAGCUAAUCUUAUCAAAACCGGUCUCAGUUCGGAUUGCAGGCUGCAACUCGCCUGCAUGAAGCUGGAAUUGCUAGUAACCGUGGGUCAGCAUACCACGGUGAAUACGUUCCCGGGUCUUGUACACACCGCCCGU